UGACGGGCAGGCCCUGGUUUUGGUUGUCCUGGGAGACCUGAGUGUCUCCACUACGGCCACUCCCGCUGCGCUGAUGCAGCACAGGGCUGGAUGACUCACAUUCCGAACAUACCGCCUUGGUCAGCUGAGAUCUGCAGUUGACCCUUGAACAGCAUGGGUUUGAACUGCUUGGACCCAUUUGUAUACGGAUUUUUUUCAACAGCUAUACAGAAAUAUAUGUGUUGAACAUCAUGUGUAAGACUUGUUCUGAAGUGGACAGCCGACCCUUACACAGAUACAGAGCUUUCAAAGUGAAGACGCAGCUGUUGCUACUGACUGGCCAUGGCUGUGGUCCUGAGCCUGGGUCUCCUGCUCGUUUUCCACCCAGGACAGCGGUGAGAGCAUGGGAUGCUGCACUUGGCAUACCUGUUCGGAAAUGAUAAGAUGUGUCCAUACCACUGUGGUUACUGCUUGAAGACUUCAGCUGCUGAGGUGACAGACCAGCUCUGGGACUUUGGCCACUCCAGGCCCAACCUAACCAGACCCGAGGGCCAAGGAGGUGAAUAUCUUUGUUCAGCUGAAACUGACAUAGUAAUAAUAAAUAUAUUAGUGUGUUAGCUAGGGUACCAGUUACAAACAAAGAGACUCCAAAGGCAAUGG